rnacentral:rRNA from 1 species
UACGGGGGGGGCAAGCGUUGUUCGGAAUUACUGGGCGUAAAGGGCUCGUAGGCGGCCAACUAAGUCAGACGUGAAAUCCCUCGGCUUAACCGGGGAACUGCGUCUGAUACUGGAUGGCUUGAGAUUGGGAGAGGGAUGCGGAAUUCCAGGUGUAGCGGUGAAAUGCGUAGAUAUCAGAAGGAACGCCGGUGGCGAAAGCGGCGGGCUGGACCUUUACUGACGCUGAGGCGCGAAAGCUAGGGGAGCAAACGGG